GACAGAGGUGGCAAGCGUUGUUCGGAUUUACUGGGCGUAAAGAGUGCGUAGGUGGUGAGGUAAGAUCUGUGGGAAAGACCUGGGCUUAACCCAGGAAGGUCGCAGGUGACUGCCUCGCUUGAGGACGGGAGAGGAGAGCGGAAUUCCCGGUGUAGCGGUGAAAUGCGUAGAGAUCGGGAAGAAGGCCGGUGGCGAAGGCGGCUCUCUGGAACGUUCCUGACGCUGAGGCGCGAAGGCCAGGGGAGCAAACGGG
rnacentral:rRNA from 1 species